UUCAAUAGUAUAAAUGCCAAAAAAACCCCUAAAUCAUUAGUCCCCUAGCCACUUUAAACAAAUCUAAAAGCUGAAUCUUUCCCCUCUGCCGCCUCCGAAAUGCGAAACCCCCUCCGACUCCGAUUUGAACAGAGUGAACAGGGCUUCGUCGGCGCCUUUGCGAAGGUAAGAUCCUCUUUUUUUCUUUUUAUUUUGAAUAUAUCAAAAAAGAAAUAAGAACAGAACGAUAGAAAGAGGGGAAAAAAACUUUGAAAAAAAAGGAAUCACCUUCAAAACUCAGUCUUUUUGCUUUUUUAUUUUUAUUUUUCUAUUGAUAUUCCCUUGCUAUUUUUUUGCAUUCAAUGUCUUUGUCCAAAACAAAUACAAAGGCUUUCUCUCUGAUUUUAAAGCCGAAACUGCGAAAAAAGAAAAAAUAAAAAUACAAAUACAAAAAUCUCUCUUCGUGUUGUGUCGUUUGCUUGUGUUUGUUGCAGGUACUGGUGUACGGAUGCCAGCUGGGCGUACGUGGCGUGGACGGAGGUGGCCGUACGGAGGCAUGCGUAGUUGGGGCAGCAACGGCCGCUGAAGCAGACUAGGGUUUCGGCGUUUGGGAAUGUUUUGGGUUAGGUUGGGCUGGAUUAGCGUUUGGGCUAGGCUAGUGUUUGGGUAGUUUAGGUUAAAACGGGUUGGACCACGUUGGGCCCAUGUAUUCGGACUAUGAUUUGGUUUUUAUUUGUUUUGAUUUUAUUUUUUUAUUACGGGCCGGGCAAAUAUUGGGCCUUACACAUGCAUCUAAAGAAAAUAUCUUUAAAUUAUGUGUCUUAUUAGAUUGAUGAACUGUCACUGAACGUCUUACGGUAAAGUAAUCUCUUAUUAGAAUGAAGAUAUAACUUGAUGGUA
rnacentral:lncRNA from 1 species